UACGGGGGGGGCAAGCGUUGUUCGGAAUUACUGGGCGUAAAGGGCUCGUAGGCGGCCAACUAAGUCAGACGUGAAAUCCCCAGGCUCAACCUGGGAACUGCGUCUGAUACUGGAUGGCUAGAGGUUGGGAGAGGGAUGCGGAAUUCCAGGUGUAGCGGUGAAAUGCGUAGAUAUCUGGAGGAACACCGGUGGCGAAGGCGGCAUCCUGGACCAAUUCUGACGCUGAGGAGCGAAAGCCAGGGGAGCAAACGGG
rnacentral:rRNA from 1 species